AGCUCGUGUCGUGAGAUGUUGGUUAAGUCCCGCAACGAGCGCAACCCUUGUCUUAUGUUGCCAGCACGUGAUGGUGGGGACUCAUGAGAGACUGCCGGGGUUAACUCGGAGGAAGGUGGGGAUGACGUCAAAUCAUCAUGCCCCUUAUGUCCAGGGCUUCACACAUGCUACAAUGGUCGGUACAACGCGUGUGCGACACUGUGAGGUGAAGCUAAUCGCUCUAAAGCCGGUCGUAGUUCGGAUUGGGGUCUGCAACUCGACCCCAUGAAGUCGGAGUCGCUAGUAAUCGCAGAUCAGCAACGCUGCGGUGAAUACGUUCCCGGGCCUU
rnacentral:rRNA from 1 species